rnacentral:lncRNA from 1 species
CCGAAUUUAAUUCUCAUUUAGGAGGUGUGAACCUAAUUCAAGAUUGAUAAAUUUAAUUCAACAAACAAUCCAGGAUCCAAUCACACAUUUGAGGUCACUAAGAAAAACAUUCAAGUCAUUCACCUCUAUAAUCCACAAUUCACAAAACCUGUGUAGUUUAUAAUCAUACAUCAUGUCACUAGAUGAUUCUUAAAAUCCAAAAGCAACUUAACUAAACCAUAACUAUAUCAUAAAUCCAUAAGCGCGGCAAUUAAUGCAAUCACAAAA